AAAAUGGCCCUUUUUAGGGCCCCCAUUUUAUAUCGAAAGUCUCCU
rfam:Octopus bimaculoides Scaffold42101_contig_1, whole genome shotgun sequence.